rnacentral:tRNA from 1 species
GUCCCUGUAGCUCAGUUGGUAGAGCAUGGUGUUUGCAACGCCAGGGUUGUGGGUUCGGUUCCCACGGGGGGCC